rnacentral:misc_RNA from 1 species
GCAGCAUGCUCUCUUACCUGAGCAAGGUACCAACUAUUUAAAUUGGAAGGAAAGUGAAAAGGAACUAAAAGAAAAUAAAUCUCCAAGUCUAGGUCAAGGACUCUUCCAUCACAGAGAUCCAAAAUGUCCCAUUAGGUUUGGAUUCCUCUAAACAAAGGGAUCAAGUUAAGACCUCCAAUCAAUUGUAUCAUAUUUCAGGAUUCUCAAACUUGUUUAUCACAAAUGCAAGUCAUUGAGGUCAACAUUUAUUAUCAAACUAUUGAUAAGGACAAGGAUUUUUCUUCAUCCACGUCCAUAUCUGCUAAUCUACACUACUCUUCAAUUCAAGAUUCAGCCAGCAACUUGCCUCCACUUGAUUGUCUCUCAGUA